rnacentral:rRNA from 1 species
UACAGAGGUCUCAAGCGUUGUUCGGAAUCAUUGGGCGUAAAGAGCGUGUAGGCGGCCCGGUAAGUCCGCUGUGAAAGUCCAGGGCUCAACCCUGGGAUGCCGGUGGAUACUGUCGGGCUCGAGUCCGGAAGAGGAGUGUGGAAUUCCUGGUGUAGCGGUGAAAUGCGCAGAUAUCAGGAGGAACACCAAUGGCGAAGGCAGCACUCUGGGACGUGACUGACGCUGAGAAGCGAAAGCGUGGGGAGCAAACAGG